rnacentral:lncRNA from 1 species
UUUUUUUUUUUUUUUUUUUUUUUUUAAAUGGCCUCUCCACAGUAUGUGGAAGUUCCCAGGCCAGGGGUUCAAUCCAAGCCGCAGUUGCAUUGGUUGCAGCUGCUGGCUAUGCCGGAUCCUUUAACGCCAUGCGCAGGACUGGGGAUCAAACUGUGCCACCACAGCGAUCCAAGCUGCUGCUGUCAGAUUCUUCACCCACAGUGCCACAGCAGGAACUCCCAUGCCCACAAUUUUUGUUUCCAUGAAAAUAAAACCAUAUAGACUAGAUCAAUGGUUCUCCAUUUGCUUUUGUCCCCCUCCCAGGGAACAUCUGGCAACAUCUGGGGACAUUGUGAUCGUCAAAACUGGGGCAGGCAGUGCUCCUGGCAUCAAGGGGUAGAGAUCAAGGAUGCUGCUAGACAUCCUGCAAUGCCCAGGCCAGUGUCCAUAGCCGCUGUCUAGCCCCAAACAUCAAGAGGCCAAGGUGAAGAAACUCUGGUUUGGACCAGGGUUCAGCCGAUGACAGCCCCUGCUAGCCAGCUGCCUGCUUUGUUUUUCUGGUUUUUUCAUGUUUUAAAGUUUUACUGAAGGCUAGUUGAUUUACAACAACUAGCUGUACAACAAAGUGAUUCAGUUACAUGUAUGGAGUUGCCUGUUUUUAUCAAUAUAAAUACACUUUUAUUGGAACCCAGUGAUGUCCAUUUAUUCACGUGUGGGUUCUGGCUGAUUUUGCCCCACAGCGACAGCUGAGUAGUUGUAACAGAGACUGCGUGGACCACAAAGCCUAAAAUUAAGGUGAGCCACAGAUGACAUUUUACGUUUUUCUGGUAUCUAGUUCUUCAAAGGACAAGGACAACUCCAUAGCAAAAGAAACAACUCGACUGAAAAAAAUGAGCAAAGGACCCGAAUAGACAUUUUUCCGAAGAAGACACAGAAAUGGCCAACAGGUACAUGAAAAUGUGCUCAACACUAAGCAUCAAGGAAAUGCAAAUUAAAAUCACCAUGAGAUAUCACCUCCUACCUGUUAGGAUAGCUAUAGUGACAAAGAAAAGGUAAGUGCUUGUGAGGCUAUGGAGAAAGGGAACCCCCCUGCACUGGUGGUGGGCAGGAAGUUGGUGCAGCAGCUGCGGAAAACAGUAUGAAGUUUCCUCAAAAAAUUGAAUAUACAACUACCAUAUGAUCCAGCAAUCCCUCUGCUAGACAUAUAUAAAAGGCAAUGAAAUCGUUGGUGUUUCAAGGAUAUAUCUGUGCCCCAGUGUUCACUGCAGUGUUAUUCACAAUAGCCAAGAUGUGGAAACAACCCAAAUGUCCAUUGACAGGGGAGUGGAUAAAGAAAUUGUAGUAUAUAUGGACAACAGAAUAUUAUCCAGCCAUAAAAAACGAGAUCUUGCCAUUUGCAACAACACGGAUGACACUGGAGGACAUUUUGCUAAGUGAAAUAAUCCAGACCUGAAAAGAAAAACAUUGCAUAAUCUCAUUUAUAUGUGGAACCUAAAAGAGUAAGAUACAUCGAAGCAGGAAGUAGAAUGGUGGUUACCAGGAUGGCAAGGUGGGGGAAACCGGAAGAUGCUGGUGAUAGGGUGCGAAGUUGCAAUUAUGUUGGAUGCGGGAAGUUAGAGAUCCAAGCUGCAGCAUGAUGGCUAUAGUUACUGAUACUGCAUAGUGUACUGGAAAUUUGUGAACAGUAGAUUUCAGGUACCCUGAUCACUCAAAAAAAGACGCUAUGUGAAGAGAUGGAUGUGUUAAUUUGCUGGACUGUAGGAAUCAUUUCACUAUGUACAUGCGUGGCCAGAUAUUAUGUUGUCCACCUCGAACAUAUACAAUUGCUACACCAUGCUGUACAGUAGAAAAAAAAUAAUAAUGUAUUGGGGAAAUAAAAUAAAUAAAUAAACAAAUAAAUGUAAAGAAAAAAUUAAAAUGUACAAGGAGGCAGGUAAAAUUAGUUUGAAUAAUAUGUCCAAAAUACCAUCUUUUCAACAUUGCAAUUAAUAGACAAAUUCUUAAUAAGAUAUUUUGCAUUCUUUUUUUUCCACACUAAGGCUUCACUUCCAGCACAUCUUAAUUCUGACUAGUCACAUUUCAAGUGAUUAUGUGGCUGGCGUAUGUGGCUAAGGGCUACAAUACUGGACAAGGCAGGACCACUGUAAGCUGCAGUAUUUAGUUAAUAUAACUAAAGGUCCUUUCAGGUCCACUGUACGUUUUUUAUAUCAUUUUUAAAUGGCUCAAUUUAUUUAAAAGAUCUCUGUUUUCUGAAUAUUUAUAUUGCUUCCUACUUUCAUAAACCAUGCUGUCAUCAACCCUCUUGUAUUAGAGCUUUAUACCCCAUCAUUAAUUAGUUCCUUAGGAUAAAUUUCCAGAUGUGGGUAAAAGAACAUACGUAAAUUGUUAAGCUUUUAAACAUAAAUAUAUUGUUUAAUAAUAAUACCUCCCUUACAAUGUUGUUAUGAGGGUUAAGCGAGCUAGACCAUGUAAACCAAUUUUAUUAGUUCAAGUAAAGUUAAUAAGACUUCAGAUAGUAGUGCCUGGCAUAGAGAGGCACCCUGCAAAUGUCAUCUAUUAUUAGUAGUAGUAUCACUUCUUAGUUCAUCUCCAGCACUGUUACACUAACUUAUACUCCAAUUAACAACGUCUAAGAAGUGCCAUUUGCAGCACACUCCCUCUAAUACUAUUAUAUUUAGAGCCCUUUCGAACUUCAUGUGCAAAAGCAGCUUCUUGUUAUUGUUGGUUUCAUCUGACCAUAGCUCAUUUGUUUUCUUACAUUCAGGAUUAGUUUUCCUUGGAUAGAUUUGUCAUAACUUCUGCCUAUAUCCACACGUAGAGAGAGAGUUGAGUCAUUUUUCACUGAAAUGUUUACAAUAAUCAAAGACCAUUUGUAUCAGUCACCUUUCCUUGGUUAGAUUGUUACAACAAUCUGAAAGUCUCAGUGGCUUACAACAAAUAUCUAUUCUCACUCACAGUCCAUGUGAGAACCUGGGCUAAAAGAGCAGUGUCCAUUGGUGACAUGCCUUUCUCAUGGAUGACAGAAAAGGGCAAGUGAUCAAGAAUAAGAGUGAAGUCUCCAAUAACUUCUACCCUCACCAAUCUUCUGUUCACAUCUCAUUUUGCUCACGACAAAGCAAGUCAUGGCACAAGCCCAAUAUUAGUGGGGUGGAAAGUAGGUUCCAACCAUGUAAUACACUGCAUGUCACACAGCAAUGGGUGGGGAUUGAAAGGAGAGCAAUGAUUGAGAACAAUAACACAAUCUACCCCAGUAGUCAAUCAAUCCAUUAAGUCAAACUGGUUAUGUGGCUCCACCCACCUGGAGUCAGGGAUCUUUCCCUGGGACCCAUUAUAAUUCUUACAGGAGUGUUAUGACUCCUGCGCCCUAAGGGAGAUGCUGGGGUGCUGACCUGCUUCUGAGUUGCCCUGAGGAUAAAUGGAUCCAGAGAAACUCAGCUUAAAGUAAAUACAACUACAUCUCCACUCCCUGCAUGAAGGUACAAACUGGCCCAUCAAAGAAAAGAACUUUGUAUCUAAAGAAAUCAUCUCAUCGUCGACCAAUGAGGAAAUGAAAAAGCCCUGGAUGCUCUGGCAGCCACCAAACAGCUACCUUGAUUCUCUAGGAAAGAUGAUAUGACGGUCCCCUUAGAACAGGGGAGAGAGGGGUUUAUAUCCUGGCUGCAUCACCUGUAUGAUCAAUAGCUGCUGCCAUCAUCCUCCCCAUCGUGAUCGUCAUCACUGCUGCCACCAGCAUCUUUAAGGUCAAGCCAGCUGCCAUGCUCUGAACCCAGCCAAGAGCACCCUGGAUGGCCAAAGAGGCAUCUCCACCCCAGAGGACUGACUCUUGUCCUAAAGAAAGGAGCCACAGGAUCUGGUUGCCUGACCAACUGGAAAAUCACGAAGCUAUGUGAGAUUGCCUAAAAAUGUAUUCCUACACUCCUAACACUAGAGAGUUUUUGAAUUAAUAAACGUGUAUUAAAAUCACAAGCCUAUUCCACUCCAAGCCUCAAAGAAAGGAUUCCAGGAACAUGGAAAACGAAAAGGAGAGAUGCCUGUUUCCCAUGGCAAGUCGCUUCCUAUUGGCAUUAUUUAUUUAUGUAACAAGUCUUUCUGGACUGGUUAAGGGAACUGCCAAUUAUACGCACCACCUUUCUCCAGGUUACAGAGAAGCAUGACGUUUCUCCUUGCUCCACGUGGGAGCACCUGGGCUGGAAACCCUUGUCCUGACAACCAGACUCUUCCCCAGGUUUGUCUGCCUCUGGAAGGAUUCAGUGCUCAUUCUGAACCAAUGGCAAAGGAAAGAAAAUUAAUAUGAUCCUUUUCCAUCCCACGGGGCUACUGAAUUUGCCUGAACCUUUGAAAUGGUCAGGAAUGAAAGUACAGUAUUUUCUUCUUUAUCCAUUUUCAGACUCUAAGAAUUCAAGGACCAGCUGAAAUCCCGCCUCUGCUGUGAAACCUUUUGUCAUCACGCAUGAUAUUCCUUCCUCCAAAACCCAACGGGUAUUUCCUGACUUUACUACCCCUUCAUCGGCUCUGCCUUCACUCCUGGUGAUGUCAGUUAACUUCCAGAGUGGACUGCAGCAGGUAGGGAUUAUACAGGUUCAGGCCAACCUCCCUCUCUCAGGGUGCACAGCAAUUGGUUCAGGGGUGAGCCUGUGAUGCCAGCACGACUAUUCAGCAUUUGCUCUGCAUAAUUAAAAUUAAAGUUGGAAGAGAGACCCUCCCAUCUUCUCUGGGUCAUGAGCUAUAAGGAGAGUUUAGGCCUGGAAUUUCUUAAGGCUCUCUUCCCUGGACUUGGGCAGAAAGCACAG